rnacentral:rRNA from 1 species
CCUACGGGAGGCUGCAGUGGGGGAUAUUGCACAAUGGGGGAAACCCUGAUGCAGCGACGCCGCGUGGGUGAAGAAGUAUUUCGGUAUGUAAAGCCCUAUCAGCAGGGAAGAAAGAAGACGGUACCUGACUAAGAAGCCCCGGCUAAAUACGUGCCAGCAGCCGCGGUAAUACGGAGGGGGCGAGCGUUAUCCGGAUUCACUGGGUGUAAAGGGAGCGUAGACGGGCGUGCAAGCCAGGAGUGAAAGCCCGGGGCCCAACCCCGGGACUGCUCUUGGAACUGUGCGGCUGGAGUGCGGGAGGGGCAGGCGGAAUUCCUGGUGUAGCGGUGAAAUGCGUAGAUAUCAGGAGGAACACCGGCGGCGAAGGCGGCCUGCUGGACCGCGACUGACGUUGAGGCUCGAAAGCGUGGGGAGCGAACAGGAUUAGAUACCCGGGUAGUC